rnacentral:rRNA from 1 species
AGGGAUUGCCCCAGUAACGGCGAGUGAAGCGGCAACAGCUCAAAUUUGAAAUCUGGCCUCGGCCCGAGUUGUAAUUUGCAGAGGAUGCUUCUGGCGCGGUGCCUUCCGAGUUCCCUGGAACGGGACGCCACAGAGGGUGAGAGCCCCGUAUGGUCGGACACCAGGCCUGUGUGAAGCUCCUUCGACGAGUCGAGUAGUUUGGGAAUGCUGCUCUAAAUGGGAGGUAAAUCUCUUCUAAAGCUAAAUACCGGCCAGAGACCGAUAGCGCACAAGUAGAGUGAUCGAAAGAUGAAAAGCACCUUGAAAAGGGGGUUAAAUAGUACGUGAAAUUGUUGAAAGGGAAGCACUUGUGACCAGACUUGGGCCGGGCGGCUCAUCAGGGGUUCUCCCCUGUGCACUCCGCCCGGCACAGGCCAGCAUCGGUUCUCGUGGGGGGAUAAGACCGGCAGGAACGUAGCACCCUCCGGGGUGUGUUAUAGCCUGGCGGACGAUACCCCCGUGGGGACCGAGGUCCGCGCUCCGCAAGGAUGCUGGCGUAAUGGUCAUCAGUGACCCGUCUUGAAACACGGACCAAGGAGUCGUCCAUUAGAGCGAGCGUUUGGGUGUAAAACCCGCACGCGUAAUGAAAGUGAACGCAGGUGAGAGCUUCGGCGCAUCAUCGACCGAUCCUGAUGUUCUCGGAAGGAUUUGAGUAAGAGUUUUAACGGACGGACCCGAAAGACAGUGAACUAUGCUUGAAUAGGGUGAAGCCAGAGGAAACUCUGGUGGAGGCUCGCAGCGGUUCUGACGUGCAAAUCGAUCGUCAAAUUUGAGCAUGGGGGGCGAAAGACUAAUCGAACUGUCUAGUAGCUGGUUACCGCCGAAGUUUCCCCUCAGGAAAAUUAUUUUU